GACGAACGCUGGCGGCGUGCUUAACACAUGCAAGUCGAGCGGAAAGGCCCUUUCGGGGGUACUCGAGCGGCGAACGGGUGAGUAACACGUGAGUAAUCUGCCCCUGGCUUUGGGAUAGCCACCGGAAACGGUGAUUAAUACCGGAUACGACCACUCCUCGCAUGGGAUGGUGGUGGAAAGUUUUUCGGCCAGGGAUGUGCUCGCGGCCUAUCAGCUUGAUGGUGAGGUAAUGGCUCACCAUGGCUUCGACGGGUAGCCGGCCUGAGAGGGUGACCGGUCACACUGGACUGAGGCACGGCCCAGACUCCUACGGGAGGCAGCAGUGGGGAAUAUUGGACAAUGGGCGGAAGCCUGAUCCAGCAACGCCGCGUGAGGGAUGACGGCCUUCGGGUUGUAAACCUCUUUCAGCAGGGACGAAGCGCAAGUGACGGUACCUGCAGAAGAAGCACCGGCCAACUACGUGCCAGCCGCCGCGGUAA
rnacentral:rRNA from 1 species